rnacentral:lncRNA from 1 species
CAAAGAGGUUAUCCGUUUGCAUGGUAUCCCAGCCUCAAUUGUAUCGGAUAGAGAUCCAAGAUUUACCUCAAAAUUUUGGAAAAGUUUGCAAGAGGCUAUGGGAACCAAGUUAAAUUUCAGCACAGCCUUUCAUCCACAAACUGAUGGCCAAUCGGAGAGAACUAUACAGACUUUAGAGGAUAUGCUGCGUGCAUGCGUCCUUGAUUUAGGGGGCAGUUGGGAAAACUAUGUGCCACUGGUAGAGUUUGCCUAUAAUAAUAGCUACCAAGCUACAAUAAAGAUGGCACCUUACGAAGCCCUUUAUGGCAGAAGAUGUAGAGCUCCCCUUUAUUGGGAUGAAGUAGGUGAACGAAGAGUUCUAGGACCCGAAAUAAUUGAAGAAACUAGUCGAGCGGUUGAUAAAAUAAGAGCAAAAAUCAAAGCAGCUCAGGACCGACAAAAGAGUUAUGCCGAUAAAAGGAGAAAAGAUUUGACAUUUGAUGUUGGCGACAAAGUUUUCAUAAAGGUGGCGCCGAUAAAGGGAGUUCUGCGUUUUGGGAAGAAAGGAAAACUUCGGCCAAGAUUCAUAAGUCCUUUUGAAAUUUUGCAGAAAGUUGGAAAUGCAGCUUAUCGAAUCGCUCUACCAUUAGAAUUGUCAGCAAUUCAUGAUGUGUUCCAUGUAUCGAUGCUUCGACAAUAUGUAUCAGACCCAAGUCACGUGGUUAGUUAUCAACCAUUGGAUAUCAAACAAAACAUGACAUAUAAGGAAAAACUACUAGCAAUAUUGGAUCGCAGAAUCCAGCAAUUAAGGACAAAGGAAAUUCCGUUAGUAAGAGUUCAUUGGAGGAACCAUAAUGUCGAAGAAUCAACAUGGGAAAGAGAAGAGGAAAUCAAGACCAAGUAUCCAGAACUUUUCAACUAAGUUUAAGGUAAUUUCGAGGACGAAAUUUUUUUAAGGGGGGAGGGAUGUAAUACUCCGAAAUUUUAUGCUCGUUUAAAUUUCCGUAGGAUAGUGAUUUAACUUUCAAUAUUCUUUUUGGCCAUAAGGAAAAGGGGACACCACCUUUGUAGUGGUUAAUGCUAGAGGUAGUUAAUGAAUAUAGGCAUGAAGUGCUAAAUGUUGUGUGCGCAUGAAAUGAUUAUUAGUUAGUCGAAACUUAAGUCAAGUUUGAAUUUGAAUGAAGUGGAAUAUUUUGUUAGGACUUCAACUGACCAAACGAUUAAAUUAUUUUACAAUCUACAAUUUUUGAAUAUGUAAGUUGGAUACAAGUUUAAAUUUGGGAUAUGCUUUGCUAAUAAUAAAAGUUAGAGGGUUUAGAUUAUAUUAGUUGAAAAGAUAAGAGGCUUCCUUUGCAAAUCUAGGUUUUGAGGCCACUUAUUACCCUAUAAUCAACCCACUUGCCAUCCAUC